AACUUUUAAUUUGAAGGCCGACGUCAUAGCUGCAUACUGUUGGUUGUCCACCUGACUCCUGCCUUCACCGCGGGAUCCCUUGUGCUCUUUUGGCCUCCUGCUCACUGCAUGCAUCCAGUGACAUUCCGGAUUGCUGUCGGCUGCUGAACAUGGGCCUCAUAGCCGACCUCAGCUGAUUGGUAUGUAAUUUUAACUGUCUUCAAAAUAAUAUGUAGCUUGCGUGGGUUUUUAAUUGUAUCUUUUUCGUGUAGCAGAGCUUGCGGUA